UUCAUGUGUGUGUGCAUGUACACAUGUACAUACACAUACCUUCAUACACGAACACCACAUUCAUGUGUGCA
rnacentral:miRNA from 1 species